GUUUCCUUGUCAGAGCUUUGCUGAACUCCAGAGACCAACAUAGUCAGAAAACGGAGUGAGGCCCAGGUGACCCUGGCACGGCUUCCUCACUUCCCAGCUUCAUUUGGAAGUUUCCUGACAAGCAGCAACUUGAUGGUUCACCUGAGAAUUUCGUCAAAGUUCCAGACUAAGAUAAGAAACUGAGUUUCAGUGAGGAGAAAUGAUUAUUAGCCCAAGCCCCAGUGUAAGUGAUAAAGCUACAAUUUCAACCUCAGAUGGGCCUCUCAGGCUGCUGUCCCAUACCCUUGGAUCUGUGAAGAAAGAAGCGAGGGCUUCAGUGAUUUGGUCAGCACCUGGGGAGGGGACGCAGUGGUACAGCUGGCAAGUGGUACAACCGUUAAGGAAUGUCUAUGGGAGUGAGCAGUGGACAGAGAAGGAAAGGGAGGUUUGGGUGGGUUAGGGUCUGGGACCUGGGUGCUGGAUGCGAAUCGGUGCCAGAAGCC
ensembl:lncRNA